ACGGGGAAAGGAGGGACUUCGGCCUUCCGCGAUUGGAUGAACCUAGGUGGGAUUAGCUAGUUGGUGGGGUAAUGACUCACCAAGGCGNNGAUCCCUAGCUGGUCUGAGAGGAUGAUCAGCCACACUGGAACUGAGACACGGUCCAGACUCCUACGGGAGGCAGCAGUGGGGAAUAUUGCACAAUGGGCGAAAGCCUGAUGCAGCCAUGCCGCGUGUGUGAAGAAGGCCUUCGGGUUGUAAAGCACUUUCAGCGAGGAGGAAAGGUUAAGUCUUAAUACGGCUUAGCUGUGACGUUACUCGCAGAAGAAGC
rnacentral:rRNA from 1 species